UCCCUGGUGGUCUAGUGGUUAAGACUCUGUACUCCUAAUGCAGGACGUGUGGGUUCGAUUCCUGGUUUGGGAA
rnacentral:tRNA from 1 species